GUCUAUGGCCAUGCCACCCUGAAAGCCUGAUCAUGUCUGAUCUCAGAAGCUAGGCAUGGUUGGGCCUGGUUAGUACUUGGAUGAUAGCCCAACUAGGAAGACCAGGUGCUGUAGGCG
rnacentral:rRNA from 1 species